rnacentral:rRNA from 1 species
GACGAACGCUGGCGGCGUGCUUAACACAUGCAAGUCGAACGGAAAGGCCCUGCUUUUGUGGGGUGCUCGAGUGGCGAACGGGUGAGUAACACGUGAGUAACCUGCCCUUGACUGUAGGAUAACUUCAGGAGACUGGGGCUAAUACCGGAGAGGAGCUCCUGCUGCAUGGAGGGGGGUGGAAAGGUUCGGCGGUUGGGGAUGGACGCGCGGCUGAUCAGCGUGUGGGUGGGGGGGUGGCUUACAAAGGCUUGGACUGGUAGCCGGCCUGGGAGGGUGACCGGCCACAUUGGGCCUGCGGGACGGACCAGAGUCCUACGGGGGGCAGAAGUGGGGAACAUUGUGCAAUGGGCGGAAGCCUGAUGCAGAAACCCCGCGUGCGUGAUGACGGCCUUGGGGUUGGAAACCGAGUUAGCCUGUGACGAAGCGUGAGUGACGGUAAUGGGUAAAGAAGCACCGGCUAACUACGUG